rnacentral:RNase_P_RNA from 2 species
AAAGUUAGUCGGACAGUCGCACUUUUUAUAAGUGAGGAAAGUCCGGGCUUUAUAGAGCAAGAUGCCAGAUAACGUCUGGGAGGCGUGAGCCUACGGAAAGUGCAACAGAAAAUAAACCGCUUUUUUUACAAAAAGGUAAGGGUGAAAAGGUGUGGUAAGAGCACACCGCAUUGGUGGUAACACUCAAUGGCAUUGUAAACCCCAUCUAAAGCAAGACCAAAUAGCGCUACGAAAAUGUUGCUCGCAUUGUAGCAGGGUAGGUCGCUUGAGCUUGUUGGUGACAAUAGGCCUAGAUAAAUGACUGUCUAUUACAGAACCCGGCUUAUAGACUAGCUUUGUAU